GUGAACGGGAGGAGAGCGCCAACAGGGAAAACAGGAAUUCCCGGGUGGUGGUAAGAAUUAGAGACCAUGAAUUUGUUAUUGCCAGCAGUCUAAGUGACAGAUUAUGGGAGCAACCUGGGGCCUUCCCACCAACAGGAACGGCCUUCCACCUCCACACCCAGCAACCCACCAGGACUUGCCAAGUGGUUCACAUAAUUUUAAGUCCACAGCUAUAGAGCUGAGUGCUGGUGUGUGCGGUUCAGAUUCUCACUGCACUGAGAGUACCCAGAAGAACAAGUUCACUGGAGUUCAGAGCAGUUAGAUGUGGGAGACUUGACUUGGGCAACCUGAAUGGAGAAAGAGGGAAUAAGGAUGGCUUCCACAGAGCAGAAGGGCCUGCACCAGGAAGAUUGCAGGAUGAGAUAAUGAAGUCUACAACCAUCCAAACUCAAAAUCAUCUGUUGUCAAGGAAAUACAGUUUCACAUUGCAGUGGUAAGGACCAUGGGCUUUGGGUAGACCAGGGUGUGAGUCCUACCCACCAGCGGUAUGACCUUUAGGAAAUGUCUUAGCCCGCCCUGACCCUCUAUUUCCUCAUCCGUGGAAUCAGUGAUUCUUAACUGGGAACAAUUUUGUUUCCUCCGGGACAGUUUGCAAUGUCUGGAGAUUUUUUUGGUUGUCACAACUAGGGGGAGGGGAAUGGUUGCAGCUGGCACCUAGUUGGGUAGAAGGCCAGGGACACUGCUAAAUAUCCUACAAUGCACAGAGCAGCCCCUCCAAGACAAAGAUUAUCCAGCCCAAAAUAUCCAUAGUGCAGAGGUUGGAAAACUCUGUGUUAAAUGGGGAUGAUAAUAGUAAACUAACUCAAAGAACUAUUGUGAGGACUCAAUGGGAUCAUGUGUUCAAUAUCCCUCGCCUUCCUUGUAAACUCCACAAGGGCAGGAACCAGAUGAUGUAGAUCAAUGUUCUGUAUCAUCAAUGACUGGAUCAUAAAAGGCGCAAAGUAAAUUAUUAAUUGUUGAAAUAUUUAUCAAAUGAGUGCAAAUCAACAAAUGCUAAUUGUCAUCAUCAUCGUCACCAUUGCCAUCUUUCCAGCCCCUGGCUCAGUGCCUGAGGCGUAACAGGUCCUCAAUCUUUGUUGAAUGAAUGCAUGAGAAAUGAAGGAUUAUUUACUCAUUAACUACUAAUCUGUGUGCUUUGGAGAGAUAUUGGAAACUCUUGAGAAAUAGGCCUGGCCUUUUCCUUUUUAUUUGCAACGAGGAAUUUUGUUCGUCAAAUAAAUGACCUUAAAGGAUUGAGACCGCUGCCAAGCCACAGAAUCGGAGUCGAGAGGCCUGACUCAGAGUCACGGAGAGGUUAGGACACACAUCUUGCAGGGCUUAGGCAAAAAAGGAAAAUGGGCCAGGCUUUGUGCGAACUUGCUGUGAAACAAGAGCUGUUUUCAGGGCUCAGGGAC
rnacentral:lncRNA from 1 species